UACAGAGGGGGCAAGCGUUGUUCGGAAUUAUUGGGCGUAAAGCGCGUGUAGGCGGCUUUGCAAGUCGGGUGUGAAAGCCCUCAGCUCAACUGAGGAAGUGCGCCCGAAACUGCAGAGCUUGAGUGCCGGAGAGGGUGGCGGAAUUCCGGGUGUAGUGGUGGAAUGCGUAGAGAUCCGGAGGAACACCAGCGGCGAAGGCGGCGUCCUGGACUGGUACUGACGCUCAGGAGCGAAAGCGUGGGGAGCGAUCCGG
rnacentral:rRNA from 1 species